CAGCAGCCGCGGUAAAACGUAGGUGGCAAGCGUUGUCCGGAAUUAUUGGGCGUAAAGGGCUCGCAGGCGGUUUCUUAAGUCUGAUGUGAAAGCCCCCGGCUCAACCGGGGAGGGUCAUUGGAAACUGGGAAACUUGAGUGCAGAAGAGGAGAGUGGAAUUCCACGUGUAGCGGUGGAAUGCGUAGAGAUGCGGAGGAACACCAGUGGCGAAGGCGACUCUCUGGUCUGUAACUGACGCUGAGGAGCGAAAGCGUGGGGAGCGAACAGGAUUAGAUACCCCUGUAGUCCCUGUCUCUUAUAC
rnacentral:rRNA from 1 species